rnacentral:rRNA from 1 species
GGGUUGUGAGGUUAAGCGAAUAAGCGUACACGGUGGAUGCCUAGGCAAUCAGAGGCGAUGAAGGACGUGCUAAUCUGCGAAAAGCGUCGGUAAGGUGAUAUGAACCGUUAUACCCGACGAUAUCCGAAUGGGGAAACCCAGUAUCCAAUGGAUACUAUCAUUAACUGAAUCCAUAGGUUAAUGAGGCGAACCGGGAGAACUGAAACAUCUCAGUACCCCGAGGAAAAGAAAUCAACCGAGAUUCCCCUAGUAGCGGCGAGCGAACGGGGAGCAGCCCAGAGUCUUAAUCAAUAACAGUGUCAGGAGAACGGUCUGGAAAGUCCGGCAGUAAAGGGUGAUAGCCCCGUAUCUGAAGAUGCUGUUAUUGUGAACUCGACGAGUAGGGCGGGACACGUGUUAUCCUGUCUGAAUAUGGGGGGACCAUCCUCCAAGGCUAAAUACUCCUGAUUGACCGAUAGUGAACCAGUACCGUGAGGGAAAGGCGAAAAGAACCCCGGCGAGGGGAGUGAAAAAGAACCUGAAACCGUGUACGUACAAGCAGUAGGAGCCUCUUUAUGGGGUGACUGCGUACCUUUUGUAUAAUGGGUCAGCGACUUAUAUUCUGUAGCGAGGUUAACCGUAUAGGGGAGCCGUAGGGAAACCGAGUCUUAACUGGGCGAAUGAGUUGCAGGGUAUAGACCCGAAACCCGGUGAUCUAUCCAUGGGCAGGUUGAAGGUUGGGUAACACUAACUGGAGGACCGAACCGACUAAUGUUGAAAAAUUAGCGGAUGACUUGUGGAUGGGGGUGAAAGGCCAAUCAAACCGGGAGAUAGCUGGUUCUCCCCGAAAGCUAUUUAGGUAGCGCCUCGUGAACUCAUCUUCGGGGGUAGAGCACUGUUUCGACUAGGGGGUCAUCCCGACUUACCAACUCGAUGCAAACUGCGAAUACCGAAGAAUGUUAUCACGGGAGACACACGGCGGGUGCUAACGUCCGUCGUGAAGAGGGAAACAACCCAGACCGCCAGCUAAGGUCCCAAAGUCAUGGUUAAGUGGGAAACGAAGUGGGAAGGCUCAGACAGCCAGGAUGUUGGCUUAGAAGCAGCCAUCAUUUAAAGAAAGCGUAAUAGCUCACUGGUCGAGUCGGCCCGCGCGGAAGAUGUAACGGGGCUAAACCAUGCACCGAAGCUGCGGCAGCGACACAUAGUGUUGUUGGGUAGGGGAGCGUUCUGUAAGCCUGCGAAGGUGUACUGUGAGGUAUGCUGGAGGUAUCAGAAGUGCGAAUGCUGACAUAAGUAACGAUAAUGCGGGUGAAAAACCCGCACGCCGGAAGACCAAGGGUUCCUGUCCAACGUUAAUCGGGGCAGGGUGAGUCGACCCCUAAGGCGAGGCUGAAAAGCGUAGUCGAUGGGAAACGGGUUAAUAUUCCCGUACUGGUGGUAACUGCGAUGGGGGAACGGAGAAGGCUAGGUUGUCCGGGCGACGGUCGUCCCGGUUCAAGCAGGUAGGCAGAGUGAUUAGGCAAAUCCGGUCACUUAAUGCUGAGAUGUGAUGACGAACCACCAAGGUGGUGAAGCAAUUGAUGCCCCGCUUCCAGGAAAAGCCUCUAAGCUUCAGGUUACCAACAAUCGUACCCCAAACCGACACAGGUGGUCAGGUAGAGAAUACUCAGGCGCUUGAGAGAACUCGGGUGAAGGAACUAGGCAAAAUGGUGCCGUAACUUCGGGAGAAGGCACGCUGGCGGUAGGUAAAGUCCCUCGCGGACAGAGCUGAAGCCAGUCGAAGAUACCAGCUGGCUGCAACUGUUUAUUAAAAACACAGCACUGUGCAAACACGAAAGUGGACGUAUACGGUGUGACGCCUGCCCGGUGCUGGAAGGUUAAUUGAUGGGGUUAGCGCAAGCGAAGCUCCUGAUCGAAGCCCCAGUAAACGGCGGCCGUAACUAUAACGGUCCUAAGGUAGCGAAAUUCCUUGUCGGGUAAGUUCCGACCUGCACGAAUGGCGUAAUGAUGGCCAGGCUGUCUCCACCCGAGACUCAGUGAAAUUGAACUCGCUGUGAAGAUGCAGUGUACCCGCGGCAAGACGGAAAGACCCCGUGAACCUUUACUAUAGCUUGACACUGAACAUUGAGCCUUGAUGUGUAGGAUAGGUGGGAGGCUUUGAAGUGUGGACGCCAGUCUGCAUGGAGCCAACCUUGAAAUACCACCCUUUAACGUUUGAUGUUCUAACCUAGGCCCAUAAACUGGGUCGGGGACCGUGUCUGGUGGGUAGUUUGACUGGGGCGGUCUCCUCCUAAAGAGUAACGGAGGAGCACGAAGGUUGGCUAAGCAUGGUCGGACAUCAUGCGGUUAGUGCAAAGGCAUAAGCCAGCUUGACUGCGAGAGUGACGGCUCGAGCAGGUACGAAAGUAGGUCUUAGUGAUCCGGUGGUUCUGAAUGGAAGGGCCAUCGCUCAACGGAUAAAAGGUACUCCGGGGAUAACAGGCUGAUACCGCCCAAGAGUUCAUAUCGACGGCGGUGUUUGGCACCUCGAUGUCGGCUCAUCACAUCCUGGGGCUGAAGUAGGUCCCAAGGGUAUGGCUGUUCGCCAUUUAAAGUGGUACGCGAGCUGGGUUUAGAACGUCGUGAGACAGUUCGGUCCCUAUCUGCCGUGGGCGUUGGAAGAUUGAGAGGGGUUGCUCCUAGUACGAGAGGACCGGAGUGAACGCACCACUGGUGUUCGGGUUGUCAUGCCAAUGGCAUUGCCCGGUAGCUAAGUGCGGAAGAGAUAACCGCUGAAAGCAUCUAAGCGGGAAACUUGCCUCGAGAUGAGUCUUCCCUGUCGCUUUAAGUGACCUAAAGGAACGUUUAAGACUAAGACGUUGAUAGGCUGGGUGUGUAAGCGUAGCGAUACGUUGAGCUAACCAGUACUAAUGAACCGUGAGGCUUAACCUGACAACACCGAAAGUGUUUUG